rnacentral:RNase_P_RNA from 2 species
UCAGAUGGCCGGACGGCCGCAGGUCCUACCUGAGGAAAGUCCGGGCUCCCUGGCGGCAGGGUGCCGGGUAACCCCCGGCCGGAGCGAUCCGAGGGAAAGCGCCACAGAGAUCGAACCGCCUCGGUCCGCCGAGGUAAGGGUGAAAAGGUGCGGUAAGAGCGCACCGCCGCAUCGGCAACGCUGCGGGCAUGGCAAGCCCCACCUGGAGCAAAACCGAAUAGGGAUGGGAGGGGCCCUUGGGCCCGGGGGCGCCGCCACCCCUUACCCAUCCGGGUUGGUUGCUUGAGGCCGCCCGCAAGGGCGCGUCCCAGAUGAAUGGUCGUCCUCCGCCACGGCAGAGACAGAACCCGGCUUACGCGGCCGUCUGACACU